rnacentral:lncRNA from 1 species
UCACCGACAAAUUUAUCCUACAAUAUUACAGAAGUCUCAUUUUCAUAUUUUCAAGAAAGAUGCAAUACUAGAUUCAAGAAGGUUUUAUAAGAAUUAACAAUGUAAAAUCAUGACCCAUAUUUCAAGGAUGAAAUAACAUAUACAAGGAGGAAAUAACAUAAACAUAUUUCUUAUGAGCAUGUAAUGAAGGUGUUAAAGCCUAGUACCAGCAUCGGUGCACCAUAAAGGCCUAUACUAGCAAGUAUCAGUAAGUUGCCUAUUUAAGUUCUAUUAGAACAAAUCCAGUAAACAAGGCCCUGCUCCAAAGUUUCAUGGGUUCUAGCUACAGUGAUCGCUAAGUACAUCGUAUUCACUUGAUCUUAGAUGUUUCUUAGUUUAUUUAGUAUGGUAGAUAACUGUUUGACUUUGUAGCUGGUGCUUGUAAAGAUACUAGUUUCUUGGUUUUAAUAUAAAAAAUGCUAGUUAUCAGAAUAAAGUAACAUCAACACUAACUAUGAGAGAGUGGUAUAUAUACUAAUUGGGUCUAUUAUCUAUCUACCAAUGGAUCAUAAAUGUGAGUUGCAGCCACAAUCAAUUGAUGCGUAGGCUGUUGCAACUAAAUGUAGUAGGCUUGGUAUGGUACUUACUCAUCUAGCCUAGACACAAAUUUAUUGUCUGGCAAGCAACUGGCUAAUCAAGAGAAAUUGCUAACAAAAGAGAGGAAGAUUUGACUACAAAUACAAUUAGAAGAUGACAAGUGUUGUAUAUAUAAAGAUAACAAGCUGGAAACUCGAUUAGAUCUAUUAUCAAAAUGUACUCACUACUCAGCUUGCCGGAGAGUGUAGGAGUUGUCCAGAUCAACGAUCGAUCUCCUGGCAGCCUCAUUUGGGGGGACAAAGUAGUUGGUAAUAUUCUAUGAAGGCAACAAACGAUUCACUAUGUACUGAAAAUGAAAUGCUAUUUGUAAAAAAACAACACUCAAGACAGAACUAGCAAAUUGGAGUACAAAAGAUGAAGGUAACAAAAAGCUUAAUAUGGAUAAAGGGAAGGCGCUCGAAAAAUAUGAAAAAGAAUUAGUUACGGCUAUAUGGGGAGAUAGAAUCUACCACACUUGGAGAGAAACAAAUUGAAAAAUAUUCAGAGAGACAGCUAAAAAUACAGAUAUUACAUUUGUACAAAUAAUAAAGAGAUAGCUAAAAGAGUGGAUUUCUUGAAACACAAUAGGAAAGUUAAUAGAUGUAGAUACCUGGUCGAAGAAAUUUGUAACUAGGUGAUACAAAUUUACUUUAUGUGCAGAACAAAAUAGUCCAUAUCAGCAUCAUCCAGCUUAAAAAAUUAAAGAAAAUAAUGUUGUAAAUCCUUACCAUAACAACAUUCCACAUGUAUUCUAGCCUAUCGAUCUUUUAUUACGUACCCUCAAUGGACACAUAUGUUUUCACACUAAUGAGACUUGUAGGAUUCAGACAUUUAUAGGAAGUUUUUUGUCCUUUCUCACCUAAAAUACAAUGGAACUUCAGGACAAAAAAAAUCUUUGCUUAGAGACUUUUUAGAAGCUACACUCAAAUAGCUCACCCUUACUAAAGGAAGAAUGCCCUGAUCAGUUUCACACUGGGAGAAGGAUGGUACCGAUCAGAGAAAGUAGUGCUAAGUAUAUUCUACGCAAAGUUGGGCCUGAGAAGAUUUUAAAUUUUUUGAAUAACUAGACUAGUAAAGUGCAGUUGGCUAGCACCAUCAAUAGUCCCCCUAAAGGAAGAACCCAAGAGUGACUAAUUUUAUUCAUAAUGUAUAUUGGAAAGUGAACAUGUUUAAAGUUGUUUUCCCUUAACAAGUAGUUCAGAAAAUUAUGAGCAUCCAAAUUUAUGAUGAAUAAAAGAUCUACGAAUUCGGUCCAUCCACUAUAGUGGAAAAUUCACCUGUCACAAUACUUCAGAGUCUGCUAUGAGAUAGAGAAACAACCAAUGCAUUACUUCAAACAUGAUCUGGCAUCGUAAAAUGAAAUAUCACUUUCAAGAUAUCAUUUUUUGAUUAUGAGACUAUCGAGAAUUAGACUGCCAAUUGACAGUUCCCUCUAAAAAUUCAAAGUUCUUGGCCACUCUAGGUGUUGUUGGUGCAAACAGUAUUUCGAUGAAAGUAUGGAACACAAGUUUUAUAACAAUGGCUUGGUUAAAUACGUACAAACCUUUAGCAACACGAACAUAAUUAAGGAUAUGACUAAACUACAGUAGUGCACAAAGCAAAAUAACAUUAAGUUAAAAUAAAAGGAAAAAAAACCUAACGGAUACUCAAAAAUUAGGGAAAAUAAAAAAUUUGAAAAAUUUAGACAUUCCACAAAGCAAUUGAGAGUAAAAAUAAUACAAACUUACCUUGAAGAGAAGAAAACGCAAGUGUUGAGAAAACUAAUAAGCCCAUAAGCAGUAAGAAGAGAAGAUUGGUUCUCUUUAAGGAAUAAUAGAAUGUGUACUACAAUUAAAAUAGAGAGAUCUUGUUGCCUACUUAAAUAGAAGGAACUAAGAGACCUUCGGCCUAAUUUCUCUUAAUAAACAUUGAAAUUGACGUACCUUAUUCAUUUUGAUCUUAUAUGUUUCUUGAUUGUCCUCUGGCUAAUUUUCUUCCAACAAAUUGACACUCCUAAUUUUAAACUGAGGGAGCCCUAUGGCUAGAUAAAUUUAGGGUUAAUACAGACUUGGGCAGAAUAAAAAAUCCCCAAAUCUCAAAUAGAAUAGGAGAGAAGAAGGUAUUGCAGAUUUUACACAAAUUUCUCUAUUGGUACUGGAGAUAAGUUGUGCUUCAGUUAGGAUUCUCUAAUAGAAUGAUAGAAGAUCAGAAACUUCAUUAGUGAAUCUAUUUUCUUACGGAGAGGAGGAGUGGGGUAUGUGGACUAUUUUUUUAUGGAGAGGAGGGGUGGCGUAUGUCG